rnacentral:lncRNA from 1 species
UCAUAUCCACCUUAGAUAGACUUGAUGAAUACCGGUGUUGCAAUAUAUAUAAAAUGGUCAUUUAAUAGAUUUCCAGGGAUAUUAUACACCAUUCAAUCAAUACACAUUCGUGUUUCACCCGGUUCUAAUACAUAGACCAAAUUCAUGUCUCUGCGUUCAAUACAAAGUCAUCAAAAAGCUCACAUGUAGACUAAAUCUAUGUGUUUGUGUCCAAUAUGAAGUCUUCAAAGCUCAGGCAUUUGUGUCCUACACGAUCCAAUAUGAAAACACAAAAUCUACAUGUCAUCAAUAUGUGUCUGCAUCUAAAUCUAGGAGCUUGAGCUGAGUCCUCCACUCACCUGCUUGCCAAAGCUCGCCGCACGCGUACCACAGGCUUCUAGAGAUCGGCCUGAUCGGCAGUUGUUGAGGUCGCACCACAUCCCUCCCUUCACAGAUCAGGGAUGAAACCGGGCCACUACAUCAGAUUCGGAGGCAGAGGAACUCACCUUGCUAGAUUACACGCAUGUGCCGACGCGGAUGUC